rnacentral:rRNA from 1 species
CCAAUACUUUCUGGAAGAAGAGGAAUGGCUAACGGGUGAGUAACACGUGGGUAACCUGCCCAUCAUAAGGGGAUAACACUUGGAAACAGGUGCUAAUACCGUAUAACAAUCAAAACCGCGAGGUUUUGAUUUGAAAGGCGCUUUCGGGUGUCUCUGAUGGAUGGACCCGCGGUGCAUUACCUAGUUGGUGAGGUAACGGCUCACCAAGGCCACGAUGCAUAACCGACCUGAGAGGGUGAUCGGCCACAUUGGGACUGAGACACGGCCCAAACUCCUACGGGAGGCAGCAGUAGGGAAUCUUCGGCAAUGGACGAAAGUCUGACCGAGCAACGCCGCGUGAGUGAAGAAGGUUUUCGGAUCGUAAAACUCUGUUGUUAGAGAAGAACAAGGAUGAGAGUAACUGUUCAUCCCUUGACGGUAUCUAACCAGAAAGCCACGGCUAACUACGUGCCAGCAGCCGCGGUAAUACGUAGGUGGAAGCGUUGUCCGGAUUUAUUGGGCGUAAAACGAGCGCAGGCGGUUUCUUACUCUGAUGUGAAAGCCCCCGGCUCAACCGGGGAGGGUCAUUGGAAACUGGGAGACUUGAGUGCAUAAGAGGAGAGUGGAAUUCCAUGUGUAGCGGUGAAAUGCUUAGAUAUAUGGAGGAACACCAGUGGCGAAGGCGGCUCUCUGGUCUGUAACUGACGUGAGGCUCGAAAGCGUGGGGAGCAUACAGGAUUAGAUACCCUGGUAGUCCACCCGUAACGAUGAGUGCUAAGUGUUGGAGGGUUUCCGCCCUUCAGUGCUGCAGCUAACGCAUUAAGCACUCCGCCUGGGAGUACGACCGAAGUUGAACUCAAGGAAUGACGGGGCCGCACAAUCGGUGGAGCUGUGGUUAAUUCGAAGCACGCGAAAACUUACAGGUCUGACAUCCUUGACACUCUAGAGAAGAGCUUCCCUUCGGGGCAAGUGCAGGGGUGAUGUUGUCAUCACUCUGUCUGAAUGUGGGUAAGCCCAACGACGCACCUUAUGUAGUGCAUCUUCAGUUGGCCCCUACAGCUGCGGUACAACGGAGAAGGGGGAUGCUCAACUCAGCCCUAUACUGGCUCCACUGUCAAGGGAUCCCGAUUC